rnacentral:rRNA from 1 species
UAAACGGCGGUGGUAACUAUAACCAUCCUAAGGUAGCGAAAUUCCUUGUCGGGUAAGUUCCGACCUGCACGAAUGGCGUAACGACUUCCCCACUGUCUCGACCAGGAGCUCGGCGAAAUUGCAGUACGAGUAAAGAUGCUCGUUAAGCGCAGAAGGACGAAAAGACCCCGGGACCUUUACUAUACCUUGGUAUUGGCAUUCGGUGUGGAUUGUGUAGCAUAGGCGGAAGGCUUCGAAGCCACGGCGCCAGCCGCGGUGGAGCCGCAAGGUGAAAUACCGCUCUGUUCGCAUUGGAUGUCUAACCUCGACCAGUCAUCCUGGUCAGGGACAGUGCCUGGCGGGUAGUUUAACUGGGGCGGUUGCCUCCCAAAGAGUAACGGAGGCGCUCAAAGGUUCCCUCAGCCCGGUUGGCAAUCGGGUGGCGAGUGUAAGUGCACAAGGGAGCUUGACUGCGAGACUGACGGGUCGAGCAGGGACGAAAGUCGGAACUAGUGAUCCGGUGCCGGUGUACGGACGCGGCAUCGCUCAACGGAUAAAAGGUACCCCGGGGAUAACAGGCUGAUCAUUCCCAAGAGUCCAUAUCGACGGGAUGGUUUGGCACCUCGAUGUCGGCUCGUCGCAUCCUGGGGCUGGAGCAGGUCCCAAGGGUUCGGCUGUUCGCCGAUUAAAGCGGCACGCGAGCUGGGUUCAGAACGUCGUGAGACAGUUUGGUCUCUAUCCUCUGCGCUCGUCGGAAUGUUGAGGAGGCCUGCCCAUAGUACGAGAGGACCUGGGUGGACGAACCUCUGGUAUGCCGGUUGUCACGCCAGUGGCACGGCCGGUUGGCUACGUUCGGAAGGGAUAACCGCUGAAAGCAUCUAAGCGGGAAGCCUGCUCCAAGAUAAGCAUUCCAUAGGACUACGGGUCCUUGAAGUCCCCAUGCAGAACACGUGGUUGAUAGGCCGGACGUGGAAGCCCCGCGAGGGGUGGAGCCGACCGGUACUAACGGACGAAAGGCAACACAAC